rnacentral:rRNA from 1 species
CCGUAGGUGAACCUGCGGAAGGAUCAUUAAAGAGUAAGGGUGCUCAGCGCCCGACCUCCAACCCUUUGUUGUUAAAACUACCUUGUUGCUUUGGCGGGACCGCUCGGUUCCGAGCCGCUGGGGAUUCGUCCCAGGCGAGUGCCCGCCAGAGUUAAACCAAACUCUUGUUAUUAAACCGGUCGUCUGAGUUAAAAUUUUGAAUAAAUCAAAACUUUCAACAACGGAUCUCUUGGUUCUCGCAUCGAUGAAGAACGCAGCGAAAUGCGAUAAGUAAUGUGAAUUGCAGAAUUCAGUGAAUCAUCGAAUCUUUGAACGCACAUUGCGCCCCUUGGUAUUCCGAGGGGCAUGCCUGUUCGAGCGUCAUUACACCACUCAAGCUAUGCUUGGUAUUGGGUGCCGUCCUUAGUUGGGCGCGCCUUAAAGACCUCGGCGAGGCCACUCCGGCUUUAGGCGUAGUAGAAUUUAUUCGAACGUCUGUCAAAGGAGAGGAACUCUGCCGAUUGAAACCUUUAUUUUUCUAGGUUGACCUCGGAUCAGGUAGGGAUACCCGCUGAACUU